rnacentral:tRNA from 1 species
GGAGAGUUGCCGGAGUGGUUUAUCGGGGCGGUCUCGAAAACCGUUGUAGCUUCGUGCUACCGGGGGUUCAAAUCCCUCACUCUCCGCGA